rnacentral:lncRNA from 1 species
GUGAUAUUUGACUAGGGGAGGGGGAUAUUUGACUAGGGGAGGGGUGAUAUUUGACUAGGGGAGGGGGGAUAUUUGACUAGGGGAGGGGUGAUAUUUCACUAGGGGGGAUAUUUGACUAGGGGAGGGGGGAUAUUUGACUAGGGGAGGGGGGAUAUUUGACUAGGGGAGGGGUGAUAUUUCACUAGGGGAGGGGGGAUAUUUCACUAGGGGAGGGGGGAUAUUUGACUAGGGGAGGGGGGAUAUUUGACUAGGGGAGGGGUGAUAUUUGACUAGUGCAGGUUGAUAUUUGACAUGGGGAGGGGGAUAUUUCACUAGGGGAGGGGUGAUAUUUGACUAGGGGAGGGGGUAUAUUUGACUAGGAGAGGGGUGAUAUUUCACUAGGGGAGGGGGGAUAUUUGACUAAGGGAGGGGUGAUAUUUGACUAGUGCAGGUUGAUAUUUGACUAGGGGAGGGGGGAUAUUUCACUAGGGAGGGG